rnacentral:lncRNA from 1 species
UCCAAGUUCUAGAACCAUGGCUUCCAGAUCUGAUUUCGUGAGAAGGGGAGGAACAGAGAGAUAAGGAAACCACAUGCCACUUGGAACAUGUUCAAAAUCAGUCAUUCAUUUCUUCAUCAAAUUUUGGGGGCGAGAUCUAACAUAUGUCAAGCACUAUUCCAGGUGCUGGGAACAUUGCAGUGAAGAGAAGAGAGUAACUCCCACCUCCAUGGAUCUCACGUUCUCCUCUCAUCCCUGGGAAGCCUUGGAUGCCCUGCCUCUCGAUUGAAAGCCCGUGCCUCCAUCCAAGAUAACUCUAGCAGGACUAAUGAAGAGGUAUUUUGUUCCCAAGAAAUGGUCCAUGGAUUGUCUAACUUGGGAAUAUCAGUAAACAAUGGCAGAGAGGUGCUAAAUGCAUAAACCUCGAACUCCUGACCUCAAAUGACCCACCCACCUUGGCCUCCCCAAGUGCUGGGAUUACAGGCAUGAGCCACCGCGACCGGCUUCAUGUUGUAUUUUCACUAGGUGUGCCAUGUCCAUCUUCCCUUCUAAACUUGGAGCUCCUCAAGGACAAUUAGCAAGACUAGUUUUCUCCAUGUCAUCUAUGCCUAACAUAAAAUCUAUCAUGUAAUAAGCACU